GAUGAACGCUGGCGGCGUGCUUAACACAUGCAAGUCGAACGGUGAAGCAGGAGCUUGCUCUUGUGGAUCAGUGGCGAACGGGUGAGUAACACGUGAGCAACCUGCCCCUGACUCUGGGAUAAGCGCUGGAAACGGCGUCUAAUACUGGAUAUGUGAUGUGACCGCAUGGUCUGCAUCUGGAAAGAAUUUCGGUUGGGGAUGGGCUCGCGGCCUAUCAGCUUGUUGGUGGGGUAAUGGCUCGCCAAGGCGUCGACGGGUAGCCGGCCUGAGAGGGUGACCGGCCACACUGGGACUGAGACACGGCCCAGACUCCUACGGGAGGCAGCAGUGGGGAAUAUUGCACAAUGGGCGGAAGCCUGAUGUAGCAACGCCGCGUGAGGGAUGACGGCCUUCGGGUUGUAAACCUCUUUUAGCAGGGAAGAAGCGAAAGUGACGGUACCUGCAGAAAAAGCACCGGCUAACUACGUGCCAGCAGCCGCCGUAA
rnacentral:rRNA from 1 species